UACGUGGGGGGCAAGCGUUGUCCGGAUUUACUGGGCGUAAAGGGCGUGCAGGCGGUCUGUUAAGUUCAGGGUGAAAGCUCCCGGCUCAACUGGGAGAGGUCCUUGGAUACUGGCAGACUUGAGGAGGGUAGAGGAGAGUGGAAUUCCCGGUGUAGUGGUGAUAUGCGUAGAUAUCGGGAGGAACACCAGUGGCGAAGGCGGCUCUCUGGGCCAUUCCUGACGCUGAGACGCGAAAGCGUGGGGAGCGAACAGG
rnacentral:rRNA from 1 species